GACGAACGCUGGCGGCGUGCUUAACACAUGCAAGUCGAACGGAAAGGCCCUGCUUUUGUGGGGUGCUCGAGUGGCGAACGGGUGAGUAACACGUGAGUAACCUGCCCUUGACUUUGGGAUAACUUCAGGAAACUGGGGCUAAUAUCGGAUAGGAGCUCCUGCUGCAUGGUGGGGGUUGGAAAGUUUCGGCGGUUGGGGAUGGACUAGCGGCUUAUCAGCUUGUUGGGGGGGUAGUGGCUUACCCAGGCUUUGACGGGUAGCCGGCCUGGGAGGGUGAACGGCCACAUUGGGACUGAGAUACGGACCAGACUGCUACGUGAGGCAGCAGUGGGAAGUAUUGCACAAUGGGCGGGAGCCUGAGGCAGCAGCGCCGCGUGCGGGAUGACGGCCUUCGGGGUGUAAACCGCUGUCGCCUGUGACGAAGCGUGAGUGACGGUAAUGGGUAAAGAAGCACCGGCUAACUACGUG
rnacentral:rRNA from 1 species